rnacentral:tRNA from 1 species
CAGUGUGUAGCUAAAUAGAAUAGCAUUUCCCUUACACCGAGAAGUUCCCCGUGCAAGCCGGGACACUUUGA